rnacentral:lncRNA from 1 species
UUAUCCCCGGCUUAGUAUAUAUCUAGGAUUUUGAUUGGUUAACGCACGUCGUUACAAAACCCAUAGCCCCUGGGUGUUGCUAACCCAUAUGCCCAGACGUUGCUAACCAUUGUCCCGGGGAACUUCACUCAAGUUUUCAUUAGUUCCAUGAUUGCUCCUUGUGAAAUAUUGAAUUCUGUAGAUUAUCCAUGAUGUUUGUAAUUAAAUAUUUAAUUCAUUACAAUUUUGUCCUAUUAUGCCGAUCAUUUACACUCAUUUCAUUAAAUGCAUCAAUUGACUACCACAUUUUCAAGGAAUGGGACUACUGACCUAGCUAUGCAAAUAUCCCACGUUAACGUCACACUAUCUAUGACGUAACUCUCACAACAUUGAGCG